AACAUUUUUGGCGUACGACAACAGCUAAAAAUCGUUGCCAAAUGUAAAAAAACCGUUCUCGUUGUUAUAGGCAACAGUUUUGUAACUGUGGUAGUCUAAGGCGUUGCCUUUUAUUUUGACCACGGUUUUUUGACUUUUGCCAACACUAUUUUAAAACCGUUGUCUUUGGUCAUUUAAAUAGACAACGGUUUUCUUUCAUUAUUAGCG
rnacentral:lncRNA from 1 species